rnacentral:rRNA from 1 species
UACGUAGGGUGCGAGCGUUGUCCGGAAUUAUUGGGCGUAAAGAGCUUGUGGGCGGUCUGUCGCGUCUGCUGUGAAAAUCCGGGGCUCAACCCCGGACUUGCAGUGGGUACGGGCAGACUAGAGUGUGGUAGGGGAGACUGGAAUUCCUGGUGUAGCGGUGAAAUGCGCAGAUAUCAGGAGGAACACCGAUGGCGAAGGCAGGUCUCUGGGCCAUAACUGACGCUGAGAAGCGAAAGCAUGGGGAGCGAACAGG